rnacentral:rRNA from 1 species
AUGAGCUUGGCGGUGAGCAAGUCCCCGCCGGUGAUGGUCCGGCCAUCGACAGAGCCGGUGCUGGUGCCCGGGAAGACGACAGCGACGCAAUUGGUGCAACUCUCGUCGUGGGACAUGGCCUACGUGGACUUCCAGGUGACGGUGCUCCUCGUUUUCGACGGCUCGGUUCACCAGCCCGUGGAGGCCAUCAAGGAGGGCCUCUCCCGGGCGCUCGCCCACUACCACACCAUCGCCGGCCGCCUCGCCGACGAAGACGGCGUGCUCCUGCACGUCGCGUGCACCGGUGAGGGUGUGCCGUUCGUGGCCGCGUCGGCGGGAUGUGCCUUGCAGGAUCACGGGCUCCUGCACGCGCCCUUCUCGACCAGCCUCCUUGACGAUCUCGCCGUUUACUACCCGGCACCUGAGGGCUGCCGGAGCAUCGACCCGAUGCUGCUGAUGCAGGUCACCGAGUUCGCCUGCGGCGGGUUCACCGUGGGCGUGACGUGGAACCACACGCUGGCCGACGCCACCGGCAUUGCGCAGUUCCUGCAAGCCGUGGGCGAGCUCACCCGCGCUGAAGCCGAUGAUGUCUUGGUGCCGUCUGUGGCGCCGGUCAGGGACGGGCGGGCGGUGUCCCUUCCUCUGCUCUCGCCGUCGGUGGUCGCCGCGAAGCAGUGGCUGAUGCUGGACCUCGGCGGCCAGAGCCUCGUCUACCUAGACAUCAUCGUCCCGCUCAAGCUCAUCGACCGUAUCAAGUCCGACUACAAGGCCGGGUACUGCACAACGUUCGAGGCCACGACCGCCGUGCUCUGGCGGUGCCGCACACGCGCGAUCAUCGGCGACGACCUCGACGGCUAUGACAUGUCCACGCCGGCGCCGCUGGCCUUCACCGUGAACGUGCGCAAGCACGUGGGCGUGGCGGCAGGGUACUAUGGAAACUGCGCGGUCGCGCAGCUGGCGUUCGCGACCACAGGAGAGGUGGCCGGCGCCUGGGACGACGGCAUGAACGGCUUGGUGGAUCUGAUCAAGCGCGCCAAGGACGGAGUCCCGGAGCUGCUGAGAGGCAUGAGUGCCGCCGGCGGCGGCGCGGUGCACGGGAUGGGGGAGGAGCAGAUAGCAGCGGCGUUCGGGUACAACGCGGUGAUGAUGACGAGCUGGCGGAACAUCAGGUUCGACGACGCCGACUUUGGCGGCGGCGCCCCGGCAAGGGUGGUGUCGCGUUGGCAGCAGUCGACGCUGCCGUGCAUGGCGUUAGUAUCCUGCAGGGAAGCCACGGCGGCCGACGGUGAGAGGCUGCUGACGCAGUGCGUCAGGGCGGAGCACGCCGCCGCGUUGCUCGCCGAGCUGGACCAGCUCGUACAUGCAUCGUGCGCCUGA